rnacentral:rRNA from 1 species
AUUGAACGCUGGCGGCAUGCCUUACACAUGCAAGUCGAACGGCAGCACGGGAGCUUGCCCCUGGUGGCGAGUGGCGAACGGGUGAGUAAUACAUCGGAACGUACCCUGAAGUGGGGGAUAACGUAGCGAAAGUUACGCUAAUACCGCAUAUUCUGUGAGCAGGAAAGAGGGGGGAUCGCAAGACCUCUUGCUUUAGGAGCGGCCGAUGUCGGAUUAGCUAGUUGGUGAGGUAAAGGCUCACCAAGGCGACGAUCCGUAGCGGGUCUGAGAGGAUGAUCCGCCACACUGGGACUGAGACACGGCCCAGACUCCUACGGGAGGCAGCAGUGGGGAAUUUUGGACAAUGGGCGCAAGCCUGAUCCAGCCAUGCCGCGUGAGUGGAAGAAGGCCUCGGUUGUAAG